rnacentral:tRNA from 1 species
CAAGAGGGGGGGAUUUUCA